CAGUAAUAAAUUGUUGGUUUCAUCUGAAAUGUGAAAAAAGUUGUGACGUGUUAAUUUAUCAUUUCCAGAUUGGUGCACUCUGAAGUGUGGCAGGAACUUGCAAGCUUUAGUCACAGAGGAACCAACUCAUGUUUCUGAUCGCUUCUGAUGUUGUCCGUUUCAAGUCUCAUAUAAACAUAGCUGCUGAUUUACUGUCUUGUGAGGUUUCUGUCAGAAAUGGUGCUACUGUAACCGACAAGGCUCUCUUGACAUGAGAGUGGUGCCAAUUAAUCUAUAAUGAACCUCCACUUGGAUCCUUGGAAUCGUAAGUAAUACUACAUAAUGGGAUGUUCAACCCACUCAGUUCAUUUUAUUUGUCGUUACAGAAAAGCCAUUGUGGAACUUCUCCUCGACAGUAUGUUGGGUAGUGAACUCUGUGAAAGUUCUUUUGUGCAUGGCAUCACGGUUUUGUUGACACUACUACAGGUUCACAGGGAUCCACAAUUGCUGUCCAGCGAGCCAGAAGUAUUGAUUUCUAGCUGAUGCUGUCGUUUCACCUUGUUUUCGAAACACUGUGGAGGACAUCAUUCCACGUUUAAAAGACUUUCAUCAAAUUCUGUCUCAACUUCCUAAUACCUGGCCCUGCAACAUUCAGCCCCAGUGCUAAACCACUUAGCCCCGGCUCCAAGUUACUGUGCCCUGGCCUACAUUUCCAUUCCGUGGCUCUUCGCUGCUCUACUCUCGCUCAGUUCUACACCACUUGGCCCCAAUCCAAGUUACUGUGCCCCGGCCUAUACUUCCCCUUCGUGGCUCUACGCUGCUCUACUCUCGCCCAGUGCUACACCACUUAGCCCCGGCUCUACUCAACAGUGCCCCUGCAUACGUCAUUCUGCCUCAUCCCUACAACAAUCUGCCCCUUCCUACAACAGUUUUUGUUUUG